GCACCAUACAAAAACAAAUUUCAUCAAAGCUUUCAGUCUUACAGUAUAUACAGCAAUGCAUUCAUAUUGUAAAAGGGUAUUUUUUUGUGUACAGAUGAAGCAAAACAAUAUUUUUACUGGCUGAAACAAAAAGUGGAACAAAGUCUCCAACAAUAGAGGUCAGUGGCACCUACUCCUGUGUGGCUUUUGUCUCUUUACUGAGCAAGAGGCUUGUUUUAGGUUUUCUUUGUCCUCUGUUCUAGUUCAUGCUGGUGUUUAAUAAGACGUUCUAUUUCUGUUCCAAGUGUUUGUAGAUUUUCCUUCAAAGUAAUAUUUUUUAGUAACGUAUCCUCCAAAACAGCCUGUAAUUUUCGG
rnacentral:lncRNA from 1 species